rnacentral:rRNA from 1 species
AUUGCACGCUGGCGGCAGGCCUAACACAUGCAAGUCGAACGAGUGGCGGACGGGUGAGAAAUGUCUGGGAAACUGCCUGAUGGAGGGGGAUAACUACUGGAAACGGUAGCUAAUACCGCAUACCAUCGGAUGUGCCCAGAUGGGAUUAGCUAGUAGGUGGGGUAAAGGCUCACCUAGGCGACGAUCCCUAGCUGGUCUGAGAGGAUGACCAGCAACACUGGAACUGAGGCACGGUCCAGACUCCUACGAAGGGCAGCAGUGGUGGAUAUUGCAAAAUGGGCGCAAGCCUGAUGCAGCCAUGCCGCGUGUAUGAAGAAUGCCUUCGGGUUGUAAAGUACUUUCAGCGGGGAGGCGUUACCCGCAGAAGGAGCACCGGCUAACUCCGUGCCAGCAGCCGCGGUAAUAC